GGGUAUAGUUAUAUUCAUUUUAUUAUUUGUUACACAGAAAUUUCAUAACAGCGUACUUGCAAUCCUCAACAGGUGGCCAAUGGCAGCAAACUUCAGAAUACAAACAACUUUAACAGACUAGAGAUACAGAAAAAAUCACAAUUCAAGAAGCACACACACACAAUCACAGACAACACAUAUCACAAAGAAGUAUGCAUAAACAAGCAAGACAAACAAUGCAUAUGAUGCAUGCCUUUCCUGUAGCUGAUGAUAUCAUCUGUCGGUUAUAUAGCCAACCCAACAUGUCCGGUAGCUAAGCCGAGCACAGUCUCUCUGUUGCGCCUUAAUACCACACUACAAAAAAUUUUGGUAGAAACGGCGGUUUUUUUGUAUUUACGGCGGUUUGAACCGUCAUUAUUACCAAUAAUGGCGGUUUCAUAAAGCGAUGUAAUUCUGAGCGCCAUUCUGGUUAUUACGGCAGUUUUCUGAAAACCGCCACAAUUCCCUGGGUUAAAACGGCGGUUUUUGAAUAGGUUAAAACGGCGGUUCAAAUCACCGUUAUUUCCAGGGUUAAAAUGGCAGUUUUUGGAUAGGUUAAAACGGCGGUUUGAACCGCCAUUAUUACCCUGGCAGAGUGGCGUUUUGGUUGGUUAAAACGGCAUUUUUGAAUCGCCAUUUUUACCCUGACAGUAGCGUUUUGGUUGGUUAAAAUGGCAUUUUUGAACCGACGUUUUACCCUGACAGUGACAUUUUUUAUCGUUUAAAAAAAUAAUUUUUACCGUCUUUUUUAUCGCGUUAAAUAAAUAAUUGUGAUUAAAAUUUCACAAUAGCAAAAAAUCAUAAUCCAUAAAUGAAAUAUUAUAUAAGUCAUAAACAAAAUAUUAAUAUAAUAUAUAAUUUUUUAUUAUUGAAUAUCAAAAGUAAUAACUCCUAUACAAAACCUUGUCUUACUAAACUUACCAAAAUACAAGCAUUGCAAUAAACACUAAUCAGUCAAAUCUACCAUCGAGUUCCCUAAACUAUGUUAAUAUCUAAUAAUGUAUUUAAACCAUCUAAUAAGUGCUAUUUUUACUACUUAGAAUAUGAACAUACAAGACAAUUAGCUUAGAUAAGUGAUGAUGAAUAAAAUUUAGAGGCCAAAAGUUUCCUCCUUUUGUAAUUAACUUUAAAACAAGCAUGCCUUAGUUUCUUGGUCUCUUGUGUGAGUUUCAUCCC